rnacentral:rRNA from 1 species
UGGGGAAUAUUGCACAAUGGGGGAAACCCUGAUGCAGCGACGCCGCGUGAGCGAAGAAGGCUUUCGAGUCGUAAAGCUCUGUCCUAUGAGAAGAUAAUGACGGUAUCAUAGGAGGAAGCCCUGGCUAAAUACGUGCCAGCAGCCGCGGUAAUACGUAUGGGGCGAGCGUUGUCCGGAAUUAUUGGGCGUAAAGGGUACGUAGGUGGUUUUUUAAGUCAGGUGUCAAAGCGUGGAGCUUAACUCCAUUAAGCACUUGAAACUGAAAGACUUGAGUGAAGGAGAGGAAAGUGGAAUUCCUAGUGUAGCGGUGGAAUGCGUAGAUAUUAGGAGGAAUACCGGUGGCGAAGGCGACUUUCUGGACUUUUACUGACGCUCAGGUACGAAAGCGUGGGGAGCAAACAGG